CCUACGGGAGGCAGCAGUGAGGAAUAUUGGUCAAUGGGCGCGAGCCUGAACCAGCCAAGUCGCGUGAGGGAGGACGGCCCUACGGGUUGUAAACCUCUUUUGCCGGGGAGCAACGGGCGCCACGUGUGGCGUCACUGCGAGUACCCGGCGUACAAGCAUCUGCUAACUCCGUGCCAGCGGCCGCGGUAAUACGGAGGAUGCGCGCGUUAUCCGGUUUUAUUGGUUUUAAGGGGUGAGUAGGGGGAUCGUUAAGUCCGUGGUCAAAUGGAGGGGCUCACCCCCUGCCCGCCAUUGAAACUGGCGUGCUGGAGUGGAAGAGAAGUAUGCGGAAGGCGUGGUGUAGCGGUGAAAUGCAUAGAUAUCACGCAGAACCCCGAUUGCGAAGGCAGCAUGCCGGCUUCCGACUGACGCUGAAGCACGAAAGCGUGGGGAUCGAAUAGGAUUAGAUACCCGGGUAGUC
rnacentral:rRNA from 1 species